UGUAGCACGCCCCAGACAUGGACUCUGGGGCAGGGCGGUGCUGGGCGUGCGGGCGUGGCGGGCGGCAGCGGUGUCACGUCUGCAGGUUCGCCCUCUACUGCUCCUCCACCUGCCAGAAGAAGGACAAACUCAGACAUACGGACGAGUGCGCCAACAGUCAAGGGCGGCUGGUGGGCUGCGGGUGGUGCGGGCAUGAGGUGGCGGGCGGGACGUCGUGUCCGGAAUGCCUGCUGGUAACUUACUGUACAGACGCGUGCAGACGAAAGGACGCGAGCACCCAUGGCAGCGUGUGUCUCCAGGCCAAGAAGACGGUAAGUCCCAGGCACCAGGAGGAGGAGGAGGAGGAGGAGGA